CCUACGGGAGGCAGCAGUAGGGAAUCUUUCACAAUGGGCGAAAGCCUGAUGGAGCAACGCCGCGUGCAGGAUGAAGGCCUUCGGGUUGUAAACUGCUUUUAUAAGCGAGAAAUAUGAUGGUAACUUAUGAAUAAGGAUCGGCUAACUACGUGCCAGCAGCCGCGGUCAUACGUAGGAUCCGAGCAUUAUCCGGAGUGACUGGGUGUAAAGAGUUGCGUAGGUGGCAUAAUAAGUAGCUAGUGAAAUCUGGUGGCUCAACCAUUCAGACUAUUAGCUAAACUGUUAAGCUCGAGACCGUGAGGGGUAACUGGAAUUUCUAGUGUAGGAGUGAAAUCCGUAGAUAUUAGAAGGAACACCAAUAGCGUAGGCAGGUUGCUGGGACGGUUCUGACACUAAGGCACGAAAGCGUAGGGAGCAAACGGGAUUAGAUACCCGAGUAGUC
rnacentral:rRNA from 1 species